rnacentral:rRNA from 1 species
UACGUAGGGGGCGAGCGUUGUCCGGAAUCACUGGGCGUAAAGCGCGCGUAGGCGGCCUGGUGCAUCCGCUGUGAAAGCCCUCGGCUCAACUGAGGGAGGACAGCGGGCGAGUGGCCGGGCUGGAGGACCGUAGGAGGCAUGGGGAAGUCCCGCAGUAGUGGUGAAAUGCGUAGAGAGCGGGAGGAACACCAGUGGCGAAGGCGCCAUGCGUGGGCGGGCCCU